GACGAACGCUGGCGGCGUGCUUAACACAUGCAAGUCGAACGAUGAAGCUGGAGCUUGCUCCGGUGGAUCAGUGGCGAACGGGUGAGUAACACGUGAGCAAUCUGCCCUUGACUCUGGGAUAACUGCGGGAAACUGUAGCUAAUACCGGAUACUUUCACUGGAAGGCAUCUUCUGGUGAAGAAAGAAUUUCGGUCAAGGAUGAGCCCGCGGACUAUCAGCUUGUUGGUGAGGUAACGGCUCACCAAGGCGACGACGGGUAGCCGGCCUGAGAGGGUGACCGGCCACACUGGGACUGAGAGACUGCCCAGACUCAUACGGGAGGCAGCAGUGGGGAAUAUUGCACAAUGGGCGCAAGCCUGAUGCAGCAACGCCGCGUGAGGGAUGAAGGCCUUCGGGUUGUAAACCUCUUUUAGCAGGGAAGAAGCGAAAGUGACGGUACCUGCAGAAAAAGCACCGGCUAACUACGUGCCAGCAGCCGCCGUAA
rnacentral:rRNA from 1 species